GAUGAACGCUGGCGGCGUGCCUAAUACAUGCAAGUCGAGCGAACGGACGAGAAGCUUGCUUCUCUGAUGUUAGCGGCGGACGGGUGAGUAACACGUGGAUAACCUACCUAUAAGACUGGGAUAACUUCGGGAAACCGGAGCUAAUACCGGAUGAUAUUUUGAACCGCAUGGUUCAAAAGUGAAAGACGGUCUUGCUGUCACUUAUAGAUGGAUCCGCGCUGCAUUAGCUAGUUGGUAAGGUAACGGCUUACCAAGGCAACGAUGCAUAGCCGACCGGAGAGGGUGAUAGGCGACACUGGAACUGAGACACGGUCCAGACUCCUACGGGAGGCAGCAGUAGGGAAUCUGCCGCAAUGGGCGAAAGCCUGACGGAGCAACGCCGCGUGAGUGAUGGAGGUCUUCGGAUCGUAAAACUCUGUUAUGAGGGAAGAACAUAUGUGUAAGUAACUGUGCACAUCGUGACGGUACCUAAUCAGAAAGCCACGGCUAACUACGUG
rnacentral:rRNA from 1 species